rnacentral:rRNA from 1 species
UACGGGGGGGGCAAGCGUUGUUCGGAAUUACUGGGCGUAAAGGGCGCGUAGGCGGCCACCGCAAGUCGACUGUGAAAUCUCCGGGCUUAACCCGGAAAGGUCAGCCGAUACUGCGGGGCUAGAGUGCAGAAGGGGCAACUGGGAAUUCUCGGUGUAGCGGUGAAAUGCGUAGAUAUCGAGAGGAACACCUGCGGCGAAGGCGGGUUGCUGGGCUGACACGUGACGCUGAGGCGCGAAAGCUAGGGGAGCGAACGGG